UUAGAAGAAGGUAUCUGCAGCUCUUCUAAUUGUGACAUCUCUGCCAUGAGUCAUUCAUCUGGAAACCCUCCAGUGAGUCAGCACACCUACAAUAAUCGUAUCACAGCAUUUCUCAUCGAAACAUCAUUGAAGAAGCUAUUUCUGCUUGACUGGCUCCUGGCAGAACCUGUCUAACCACAGUUGAUUUUCCCAGUAACUCAAAACGUAAGCUCAAUCAACCCUGGCUGAUUGAAUAUUUGGAUUUGGAAUCUCUUGGGAUAUCCAGGGCUGCUGGCUAAACUGGGAAGUCAAAAUAUAUUUCAAAAGAAGGCAUUAACACGCCACCAAGAUUACAGUCACAGAGUUCCCAAUUUGGACUGGAAAUGC